rnacentral:piRNA from 1 species
UCCAACUGUGGUUGUUUACUUGAGUAC